rnacentral:rRNA from 1 species
ACGGAGGAUGCAAGCGUUAUCCGGAAUCAUUGGGCGUAAAGCGUCCGUAGGUGGUUUGUCAAGUCUGUCGUCAAAGAAUGGAGCUUAACUCCAUAAAGGCGGUGGAAACUGAGAGACUAGAGUUCGGUAGGGGUAGCGGGAAUUCCCAGUGUAGCGGUGAAAUGCGUAGAUAUUGGGAAGAACAUCGGUGGCGAAAGCGUGCUACUGGGCUGUAUCUGACACUCAGGGACGAAAGCUAGGGGAGCGAAAGGGAUUAGAUACCCCUGUAGUCCUAGCCGUAAACGAUGGAUACUAGGCGUGGCUUGUAUCGACCCGAGCCGUGCCGAAGCUAACGCGUUAAGUAUCCCGCCUGGGGAGUACGCACGCAAGUGUG